CCAAGUUCUUGACCCUUCUUAGCCCCUUUAUUGACUCUCCCUGAUUCUCAAGUGUCUCCCUGCAUAAAACAUGCCAUUUCCAUAAUGUGGCCUUUCUUACUUCUGGAGACGUCUCUUCCUCGCAAAUAUUGACAGAGGCUUUCCCUGCCGCUGAAGUAACACUCGCCCCUACCCAGGCGGCAUUCUCUGCUCCCCUGUAUACCUUGAAGUGUACCUACAGGGUUGUUCACUGAUUUUAUUUGCAGGAAGAACUGACAGGCCCCUCGAACUUGGAGCAAACAAUGAACAGAACGAGGAUUGAAAGAGCUGCCUCCACCAGCCCAGCAGAAAUUCCAUGCAGCAGAAGAAUCUAUUGACCAUGAAUGACUGGUACUUCAUUCAAGCAGUUAAGGAGUUUCCCUGGGUCAGUGGUCCAAGUGUCUGUGUGCAGUUGGCUCCCUCAAUGUUCAUAUGUUACUCAGUUGGGCCUUUGUCAUUGAAAGCGAAGAGGACAUUGUCUUGGCUGUCAGAAGCUUUGGGACUGUUCUUUAAGUCUGGCUUAAGUAAUAAUCAGUGACCUUUCCCUUCUCAGCUUAGAGGUAUGGUUGAGAUCAGUCAUUGGCACCCCCAGGUCCUGACCACCAUCUUACUAUACAGUGGCAGGGAAAAGGACAACUGGACAUUUACUGUGUCCAAAAGGGAUGUAAUGACCUUGCCCUCCUUCUGCCUGUGUAAAUGCUUGUGUGGACUCAUCCCUUACAGGCCGACCCAGCAAGACUUCUCCAUUAACUCCCUUCUGCAUGCUGGGCAGGGUGGUUUUCUGGAUUCUUAUCCCCAGUUCCCCAGUUCCCAACCUCCAGCCCUGGGCUAUGGUGAUUUUCCUGUUAAAAUAUUCUUAAGUCCUCUGUACCGUAUGUUGCCUCACUCAUCACAAUUGUAAUGAAAUCAUGAUUUAUGCACCAUUGUUUGUUUAAGGUUUGUUUCUCCUAUUAGGCUGGAAGCCCAGGUGGGGCUUGGAAGUAGAAGACCUUCAGUGAUGGUCUUUGGAUAAAU
rnacentral:lncRNA from 1 species